rnacentral:rRNA from 1 species
CAUAGUUUAUUAGAUCUUACUCUACUUGGAUACCUGUGGUAACCUAAGAGCUAAUACAUGCAACUAAGUCCUGACUUUACGGAGGGACGCAUUUAUUAGAACAAAACCAAUCGGGAAUAUCCCGCUGUUUGGUGAAUCUGAAUAACUAUGCUGAUCGCACAGUCCUCGAACUGGCGACAUAUCUUUCAAAUGUCUGCCUUAUCAACUUUCGAUGGUAGUUUACACGUCUACCAUGGUUGUAACGGGUAACGGAGAAUUAGGGUUCGACUCCGGAGAGGGAGCCUGAGAAACGGCUACCACA